UGGAAGGGGCCGUCCUGUGAGCCCAGAGGGGAACAUGAUAGUCUCUAAGCUGGAAAGGACCUGCAAAGAAUAAGAGGAGGAGGAGGAAGCAGGCUGCUGCCACAGGCUCCCACCCCAUAGGAACUGAUGCCACAGGUACGGGUGGCUGAGAGGUCACCACAUACAACUCCACCCUGGGAGCGGCUCACACCUGCGCAGAGACAAUAAUGCUGAUUUCAGGAAGACCUCCAUGCAGACAACCACGCUGAUAAAAUACCUGUUUUGAUCCAGAACAAGACAACUGGAGUAUGGACAAGUGUGUUUGGACAAGGACAAAGUCAGAGCUUCCUAUGAUG